GUUUAACAUCCCUAAUUAUAUUUAGGCAUGUGUUUUAAAACUUUCUAAGGUUUUAACAAUUGUUGACAAGAUUUAAACCAAUGAUAAGCCUUGGGUUACAUUUGG